GGAGACUGGAGUUCAGCGGUGUGCUUUUUUACUUCGGCUGGUCCGCGUGCAGUGGUGUUUACAAUUAAUUGAUCACAGCCAGUUACAGAUUUCUUUGUUCCUUCUCCACUCCCACUGCUUCACUUGACUAGCCUUU